rnacentral:rRNA from 1 species
UGCCAGCCGCCGCGGUAAUACGGAGGGGGCAAGCGUUGUUCGGAUUUACUGGGCGUAAAGGGUGCGUAGGCGGAUUUGUAAGUGAAACGUGAAAGCUUAAGGCUCAACCUUAGAACUGCGUUUCAAACUACUUAUCUAGAGUAUAGUAGAGGUAGAUGGAAUUCUCAGUGUAGCGGUGAAAUGCGUAGAUAUUGAGAAGAACACCAGAGGUGAAGACGGUCUACUAUUCUAUUACUGACGCUGAGGCACGAAGGCAAGGGGAGCAAACAGGAUUAGAUA